rnacentral:rRNA from 1 species
UAGGGAAUCUUCGGCAAUGGGGGCGAACCCUGACCGAGCAACGCCGCGUGAGUGAAGAAGGUUUUCGGAUCGUAAAGCUCUGUUGUAAGAGAAGAACGUGUGUGAGAGUGGAAAGUUCACACCGUGACGGUAACUUACCAGAAAGGGACGGCUAACUACGUGCCAC